GAGAUAAGUUUUGGAUCAUACAUGUCAUUUAAACAAUUAUUUGGAGCAUACAGAACAACUAUUCUAAGGGUAGGCCAUGUUCACUUGUACAAUUUGGCCACAAAAUAUUACCGUCGGCCCUGUCCAAAAUACUAAACAGAGACCACAAAAUACUAUAGUUAGUCCUGUCGAAAAGGCAUUUAAUCAUUCCUGUCCAAAAGCAAUCAAACCAUCAUGUACAAAAGCUACCUAACCAUCCUGUCCAAAAGCCAUGUAACCAUCUUGCAAAGAUUAGUACAGAUCUUGAUCACAGAGAAUAUCAUCAUCACAACUUGGUGGUGUCACAAGCUGGGUAAAAUCACUAAUGAUAUCGUAUUGUUGAAGCACACGUCAGGCCUAGCGGCCGGCCGCCUCCACGCGCCUCCGCCCGUGGUGGCACGACAGGGCCCCAGCCUCGACCUUGGGCGUGGUCACUUGGUCCCCUCCCCACUCGCGAGGAGCCCAGCAGCCUGGCGCCUCUCCGGUCAUGGCGGCGACGAGCCUCCUAGCUGGCUCGCGGCAAUGGCCGGACGCGGGCGAGGCGAGCUCAGGUGCCUCGCGCGGCGGUCGCCCGGUCCCCUCCCCACUCGCGGCGAGCCCGGUGGCCUGGCGCCUCUCCGGUCAUGGCAACGGUGCACCUCCCAGUUGGCUCAUGGCGGCAGCCGAACGAGGGCGAUGCGAAGCGCGCGAAAUGGAUUGGGGCGCCGUCUCCCACGGGAAUGGAUGGAUUGGGGAUUAUUUUGGACAUGCAGGCGGGCCCAAGCAAUGGAGUCAUUGGAUUUGUUUUAGAGGGCUGAGAUCGACUAUAUGUCACUUUGUGACAUGCAUACACUGUGUCACCUAAUCUGAAUCCCGUUCCAACGGUGGACUUCAUGUCUCCCUCUCCGUUCAGAUCUGAAGUUGCAGUCUCUGCCAAGCUCGAGCAUCUCCUGCGGCCUUUUCCUGUUCGAGGCUGAAUCUACUCCAUCAAAACCAAGAACUACCUGGGUGGAUGCUUUUCGAGAACAGGAGAUGCAUAGGCAUGACGCUAAUAAGGAUGGGUAAAAGGCUAGGGAAUACUAAUAUGAGGAUUAAUCUCCACAGUAUCGCAGGCUUUUUGGUGUCCACCUCUUCCUGUCCUUCCAGAGAAAAUCUUUCGUAAGCUGAAUUGUCGAUGAUUUUACUGUCCACUAUUGUGUUACAAGCAAUACAAUGGUAGCUGUUACGCAUGUUUGAUGAUA